rnacentral:lncRNA from 1 species
UUAUUUACACCAAAAACGAUGUCGUAUUUUGCAAGCGAAUGACUAAGGUUAAUUAUGUAAUUGUAGAGUUCAACUAAGGUAGAAGCGAAAGGGGCUCGAGUCGAGUGAGAGAGCUCCAAUGAGAAUGGCAUGUGUGAGAGUUCACAAAGUCGCUGAAUCUCGUCUCGAUUCCUGGACCAGGUACUCUUUCAAGUGACCUUGUAAAGUUUUGGUUAUCGCUGGAUCAUAGGAUUUUUGGAGCUAGGGGCUGAUAAUUCCGAUCCCAGAAAUGCUAUAAUCGUCUUGAAGCUUAUUCUUUGAAGAUUUUGAUAAUGCUCUUGUGGUAUAGUAAAUUUCUGUAUGAAUCAAUUUGAUAAAUUUUAAUCUACUUUGAAUUGCUAAGACAAAUCACAUCUCACUUUCCCUUUUCUCAGAUAUUGUUCAACCACAUGAUUUUGUUUUUAUGAUGUUGCUGUUUAUGUUUGUAUUCUAUGUGCAGUUGACAGAGGUUAAUCUAAUUGAGCUACUUCAAAACGAUUUGGCCUCACAUCUGUUUGCUGCUUAUCAAGUUUACAAUAAUACACAUAUAUCUAGUACCUAAAAAUGCAGUAAUUGGCUUUGUCGUUUUUUAUAUAAUUGGUUAGUUGCUUGAAACCUUGAACCUCAACAGUUCUUGGUUAGCUCCAUUGAAUCUGAGCAAGUUUUUUAUAGCCAAUAUUAGUAAUCACGCUCCAAUGAUCACAUGAGCUAUUUCAGAACUUAGUUUUUGUAAUAUGUCUAUAAGACUGUUUCUGGGUGGUAAGUAUAUAUCAUCAAGUGCUCUGCUCUGCACCUUUUAAGCCCUUUUCAUCAAAUGUUUGAACUUUGGUUUUUGCAAUAUAUAAGACUGUCUCUGGUUGGUCUCAUGAAGUGCUUUGUCUGCACCUUCAAGCUCUUUUUUGUUUGUUUAUCCAUUGCUUUAUUCUGUGGCUAAUUCAUCUGUUUGAUCUUUUGGUGUCUAGUUAUGAACUCAACAUUCAAGGACUUGGCUCAUUUCGUUGCUGGAGGCGUUGGAUUUGUGGUUUUGCAAGAGAAUGACCCGAGUUUUUACAUUUUCGGUAACUAUCUUUUGAACUCAUACAUAUUUGUAUGCUUAAAGUUUUUAACAUUAUCCAGUACACAUAUGUAUAUGCUUAUAUCACUACUUUCACAACUAUAAGGUUCUUAAAGAUCAAUUAUUUCCUGAAAGAGUAGAACACAGUGAAGAUAUAAACACUGAGAGCAGAAGAGACCAAAACCACAAGCGCCAAGACAGUAUGAAUUGCCAAAGCACUGCCGCAAGAGAGUAGCCC